UCCCAGCAAACACCCGACGUUGACACAACGUUGGAUCAACGUUGAAUUUUGGUCGCGACGUCGGUGACCUUCAUACAACGUUAAACCGACGUUGAAUCUCCGACGUCUAACAGACGUUUCAUUUUGACGUCGACUCGACGUCGGGUUUUGGUCGGUAAUCUGACAAUAGGUGAAUUUAAUUUAUGAAACCAAUAUAUAUAUAAAUGAAAGCAUAAACAGCUAGAAUUUUAAAUUUAAGUUUAGAAAGGGAAAAUUAUAUAUUUAUUUAUCCAUCAAAACAAUAACAGUAUCACGUGGGUGGCUACGUACGAUAUUUGAUAGGUGGCGCUCGGUAAACGGAUAGUCGCAGAUCAGUAUGAAAUAUAUUUGCUCUAUUUUCGUUUAAAUAAUAUCUUAUCUCCUCGAAUUAGUCUAAGAAGUGUUUAUAUAAUUUACAAUGAAAUUGUUAUCAUUUUUGAGGGCUUUAUUUUAUAGUGGUAAAUAAUUUAGUAAAUUCGAAUUGGCGACAUAGGCCUAUAUCGGAUUUGAAAUUCAGUUGUAUUGGCGGACAAAAAAACAACGAGCUGACAGACAAAGUUGAAUAUUCCAAACAAAAUGAAAAGAUUGUGGAAAUUAUGAUAAUUCAACAUCUGGCAAAAGUUCAGGAGGAAGAUGAAAGUAUUAAGAGGAAAAGAAAAACGAAAACUUACCAAGAUUUUGUGACAGAAAGUGUGAUGAGAUUUAGGUUGGAGACGGUAAUGAUACGCUUACAGUAUGCCCCAGAUCGACACAGUGGAGGACGACGAAAGAAGAUACAUAAACAUUGCUAUUUAUAAUAAUAACAAAAUAUUCAGAAUAUUGUUCCAUUUUACAUUCAGAUCUAGAUUCAGUUAUAAAAUACAAAGACAAAUAUACAAUCAGUGAACUGGAUAGAUGAUUGGAAAAUCCCAAAAUCAGGGUGAUCAGUUCAUGAUCAGUGGUGAAAUAAAAAAAAACACAUGCAUGGAUGUUUACUAUACAAAAUGUCAGUGGUAAUAUUCAAGAAGGAUUGUGUGUAUCUAAUUUC